AGUGAGCUCCAUGCACAUGAAGCACUACAAAUGGACCAAUCAGGAGUUAGCUCAGGGAACCAAUAGAAUCUUAGGGGUAAUUUCCACUUUCCUAGAAGUAAGCCCUUUCAGAGUUUAAAAAGCGAAAUAAUGCCGCUGGACCAGGGAACUGACUGGUGCUGGCAGGAGAGUAAUGGCCUUGCCUGGGGGUCCUGCUGAUCUUUUCAUGAGGCUUCCCAUCUCAGAGAUGACCCUGUAAACCUGCAGUGGGGCACAUUAGGUUUGUAAGGAGCAGAUUCUGAGGUGGUGGUUGGUACAGGAGGUUUAAAAUGCUCGGGACCAGGCUGGGGAAGAGAAGGAAGCAGGAUGGGCAGGAGACCCUUCAGGACUCGCCGCGGAGGCAGGGAGUGCCAGGGCUUCAAACUCCUGCACCACUCAGUGGGAAAGGCGGGUGGCUGCCCUGGGAGGGGAAGGCCUGGGGCGAGGCCACCUUCUGCCCUCACUACUCCCAGCACCUGGGCAAGAAGCCUAUCAGCCUGAAGUAGGAGCUGGGCAGCACAGCGCAGUGUCCGCCCACCCAGUCUGAUGCAGAAUGAGAAGCACAUUUGCAGCCAUUUGGGACCAUGAGCCUCAGGCUGGCCUACUGACCUCACAGUGAGAGCGCGUGUGUCCUGUGCGGUUAGAUCCGCCGGCCAGGUUCACAGAGCAAAUGUCCUGUGAGCGCUGGGGUUUCUUUUUUGCUCAUUCCCACGGCCGCGACAGGAAGCAGCCCAUUGCUCAGAAAGCCUCCUCAUCUCAUCCACCAAAGGCAGUAACAGCCCUGGCCUGUCUGAUAUCCACCCCUGCCCUGCACCUGCCUGCCGUGGAUCUGCUGGGGAUAAGGAGCCCAUAGACCACGAUCAGCAUCACAGGCACUGGGAGCAAGGCCAGCACCCCAACAAACACAAUGAGAUAAGAAUCCUGGUGCCUGAGGAGAACAGACAGAGCAAGGAGGAGGUGGCUGUGAGAACUGCGCCCCAGCACAGUGCCUUAAAUGUAGUACACGCUCAGCGCGUGCCUUCUUUUCCCAGAUGCAGGUUGUCCCAGACUUUUCCAGUGGGACCCAGAGCUGUGAAAGCCAAGGGCCCGGCACCCAAGACAUCCACCUCAGUUUCCAACCCCGUUGCCACCAAAGUUGAGGCUCAGGGUAAGGUAACACCCUCUCUGCUUAUCACUUUGUCCCACGCAAGUUAAAUAGAAUAAUCCAACUCGCUUAUUUGGCAGGCGGCAGGUUUGGGAGAUCUCCAGGAGACACUCUCCAGCCCUGGCAGAGAUGGGCCUCUCUAGGGUUGGUGCAUGAGUGGGGCAAUCUUGGAAAGGGUCUCCAGGGCACGGUAUUCCUUUGUGCCCACCAUCCACCCCUCUCACAAGGCAGUGCCCAGAACUGAACAGAAAGUGGUAACUCAGUUGCCAUGGCAGCGAGGGAAACAGGAUUGGGUGAGACCCCAUCAGGGAGCAUUGAGGAGCUGUGGGGUGGGAGAGAGACCUUCAGGGGUUGCUUCCUCCGCAGGACAGAGGAUAGGCACAGGGGUUGUGGCAUCAGCAUUCCAAGAA